UAGAGUUUGAUCCUGGCUCAGAUUGAACGCUGGCGGCAGGCCUAACACAUGCAAGUCGAGCGGAUGAAAGGAGCUUGCUCCUGGAUUCAGCGGCGGACGGGUGAGUAAUGCCUAGGAAUCUGCCUGGUAGUGGGGGACAACGUUUCGAAAGGAACGCUAAUACCGCAUACGUCCUACGGGAGAAAGCAGGGGACCUUCGGGCCUUGCGCUAUCAGAUGAGCCUAGGUCGGAUUAGCUAGUUGGUGAGGUAAUGGCUCACCAAGGCGACGAUCCGUAACUGGUCUGAGAGGAUGAUCAGUCACACUGGAACUGAGACACGGUCCAGACUCCUACGGGAGGCAGCAGUGGGGAAUAUUGGACAAUGGGCGAAAGCCUGAUCCAGCCAUGCCGCGUGUGUGAAGAAGGUCUUCGGAUUGUAAAGCACUUUAAGUUGGGAGGAAGGGUUGUAGAUUAAUACUCUGCAAUUUUGACGUUACCGACAGAAUAAGCACCGGCUAACUCUGUGCCAGCAGCCGCGGUAAUACAGAGGGUGCAAGCGUUAAUCGGAAUUACUGGGCGUAAAGCGCGCGUAGGUGGUUUGUUAAGUUGGAUGUGAAAUCCCCGGGCUCAACCUGGGAACUGCAUCCAAAACUGGCAAGCUAGAGUAUGGUAGAGGGUGGUGGAAUUUCCUGUGUAGCGGUGAAAUGCGUAGAUAUAGGAAGGAACACCAGUGGCGAAGGCGACCACCGGACGAUACGACACGAGGGGAAAGACUGGAGGUAUUUUCG
rnacentral:rRNA from 1 species